CUCGAAGUCGAGUGCCGAGCGCCGAGUACUAACGAGUGCCGGGAACGAAAUUCUGUCUGCUAGAGGAGGCACUUACUUCGUUAACGCCUUUAAACGUGAAAUCGGUUGCGUUAAUCGUUCCGUGCGAAUACAGCACGAAGGAUCGUUCAUCUCUUCUUCAUUUCGAUUAUCACGCUUAUACGGUAGUUCUCGAUCACAGCCUCUUAAACAUUGAAUAAUCGUUCUUCCAACGUACGUCAUUGGUCCAUUCUUUCUGGAUCUCAUCAACGAAUCCUAAACCGACCAAAAACUACUUCUAUUCUUCUUUUUGGUCACUAUACUUCGAAAUCAUGAAGUGGCAUCCUAAUCAUCUUGAAAAUUUAGUGCUGAGGAAUGUAGGCGACGAAAGUACGGAUCAAAACAAUAAUAUAACUAUGACGAGCGAGGAUUUAUUACAACCUGGCCAUGUGGUCAAAGAACGAUGGAAAGUGGUUAAAAAAAUAGGGGGUGGCGGAUUUGGUGAAAUAUACGAAGGCCUAGAUUUAAUGUCAAAAGAGCAGGUUGCUCUUAAAGUGGAAUCCGCACGUCAGCCUAAACAGGUCCUUAAAAUGGAAGUUGCUGUAUUGAAAAAAUUGCAGGGUAAAGAACAUGUUUGCAGAUUUAUAGGCUGUGGUCGUAACGAUCGAUUUAAUUAUGUUGUAAUGCAAUUGCAAGGAAAAAAUUUAGCUGAAUUAAGACGAGCACAGCCAAGAGGUGCUUUUUCAUUAUCAACUACUUUACGACUAGGUCUUCAAAUUCUGAAAGCAAUAGAAAGUAUACAUCAAGUAGGCUUUCUUCAUAGAGAUAUUAAACCUUCAAAUUUUUCUAUUGGACGCCAAUCAUACAAUGCUAGGUUGGUAUAUAUGUUAGAUUUUGGUCUAGCCCGCCAGUUUACAACAGGUACUGGUGAAGUUAGACCACCCCGUGCUGCUGCAGGGUUUAGAGGAACCGUCCGGUAUGCAUCUGUUAAUGCACAUAAGAACAAAGAAAUGGGACGACAUGACGAUUUGUGGUCUUUGUUUUACAUGCUUGUAGAAUUCGUUAAUGGUCAACUACCAUGGCGUAAAAUAAAAGACAAAGAACAAGUAGGUUUUAUGAAAGAAAAGUAUGACCAUCGCUUACUUUUGAAGCAUCUUCCAUCUGACCUUCGCCUGUUUUUGGAACAUAUUCAGAGUCUGGGAUAUGCAGAUGAACCAGAUUAUGCAAUGUUAGCUGGUUUGUUUGAACGAUGCAUGAAACGUAGAUGUGUGAAACCAAAUGAUCCUUAUGAUUGGGAAAGACCAUUGAUAGCUAAUGAAGGUUUAUCAACUACCAGAUCAUUACCUACAGUUACUGUUCCUCCUGCACUUACAACAGCAACUGCUAUUAAUCAGCCUCCAACCAUACCAACUGUAGAUACAAACAAUCAAGAAAAUGUUGAACCAGACAACCGAAAAGAGUUAGAUGCACUGAUGGAUUAUGAAAGUGUAUGUAGAAGGAACAGGCAACGUGAAGUUGAAAGUUCUCCAGUACCAUUUGCAUCGGCUAUUAGUAAUCAUGGUCGAGAUAAAAAUUGUAAUGCAACAAUACCUACAACAGAUAACACUCAGCCUGGUACACAAAAUACUGCAAUUCUUCCUGUAGUUCAAGGUUCUCCGAAAAAAAGGCGUGCUUUAUCAAUGGCAGUAGAACCACAAACUCCUGCCGCAACAGUAGAAAAGCAAUUGGACAAUGAAGGUGAUGCAUUAAUGGCGUCUGCUUGUUCAGCUUCUGAAGUUCCUCGUUCUAAAGUGAUGUCAAAUGCAGUAACUCCAUUAAGAAAAUCUGCAAGUGGCGCAACAUUUGCUCGUUUGCGUGUUGCAACUGCUCCAGAAAAAACUUCUGGUGAACCACCAAGUCCACGUGUACAAACUGAAGUGGAUGCAUCUUAUUGCUCAUAUGAUGUGACUAAUACAAAAUACAUAGGAAAUCAGAGUCCCCAGGUUACUGAACAGAGGGAACCAUUACGACGGGAACCAAGAAGAAGAACGGAUGGGCGACAGCAAGGAAGAGCAGGACGUGCUACUGUACGGGAUUGCUCCAUUACGCAGUUUGCGCAGAUAGAUGACGACAAUGUGUCAGCCUUACAACAAGUGACAAAAGGUGGUGGUGGAUUAACAUUAGCUUCACAAUGGAAAUCACAAUUCGAUGAUUCUGAAGAAACAGAUAAUGAAUGGAAAGGUGAAAAUUUACAAAGUCCUGAGCAUAAGGGUACGAAUCUACCAUCUCUGGUUCCACAGACAGCUAAUGAAGCUAAUACUACAACAACUUCAAUACCAGUACCAACUGAUACAAAAGCAGCAGGUCCACAUCCAAGUAGUUCAUCAAAUACAAUACAACAGCAUGUGGUAGUACCAACAGCUUUAUCACGCAUAAGUGAAGAUUCUCCACGUCCGGUAGUUCCACAUAGAUGUUUAAAUAUUGCUGGUAUAGAAAAAUAUCCAGAACUCCAAGGAGCUCUUCCACGUGCUUGGAGCGUUCCUACAUUAGCAUCACACGUUCGUAACCAUCUUGAAGCUCCAUUGGUUCAACAAGCUGCAUUUGAUGACUUGUUUUAUGAAGUAGAUGUUAUGAGAAACAUUGCUACAAGAUAUGAUGAACCAAGACAAAAUCCACCACCAAGGAGAGCUAGUGUACCCGCUGUUGCUUUUUCACCUCAUAAUACUGUGCCAAGCACUCCUGCUGGUGAUGAAGAAGAAGAAGCUGUAGCAGGAAAGCUUGAAAUUAGAGUAGUAGACGCAACAGGAGGAGCUACAGUAAUACAAACAAGUGCUGAUAGAGAACCAUUACAAAAAAAAUUAACAAAUGGUACUGCAUGUAGUCCAGCUAGCCCAAAUCCAGGGCCUGAAGAACCAUCAGUAUAUUAUGAUGCAAAUGAAAGUCGGGUACCUAUUAACAAUAUUCAGAAUAAAGAGUCUGGUGCUACCACUGCCGUAACCACUGUUCCAAACUCAGUGCCAUUACUGCGUGAAUAUAAGGACAAUAAAGAGAAAGAAACACCUUGCAGAACGUAUAAUAUUCACAGUAAAAUACCAAUACCAGUGAAGAGUCCUAAAUGUUCAUUGUCUGAAUCAACUCCUGAAACUAACACACCAAAUACUAGGACUGGAACAGGAAGUGAAAUAGAAAAAUCACCAGCACCCAUGGUUGUAACUAAGGAAAGAGAAACUACUAUCAAAGGUAAACCCUUGACAGUACAUAUGGAGGCACCUGCACUUCGUCGUUGUGCUACUUUACCUGAUGCAAGACCAAAUAUGUCACCUUUAACAUCGGCUAGUUCGGCAGAAGAUGAAAAUUUAACUGGUUGUACACCAGCAUUACGCCGUCGUAGACAAAGUGAAAAGUAUGUAACAGAUGCCAGUCAACUUAAUUUACGAUUUCAAAGACCACAACGUAGGAUGAGGCCAAAUUCUGAAGUAUUACCAAGAUGCUUCCCUAGAGGUGUACCUUCACAUCUAUUAGGAGAAGGUGGUAAAAGAACAGAAGAAAGCAGUGAUAAUGAUUCUGAUAGCAGUGGUCCACAGAAUACUCAACCUCCACCGCCGCCAGCAACUCUUCCACCUCAUGUAGCGGAAAAUAAUGCUAGGUGUCGCAGAUUUAGACCUAUACCAGAUGCUACAGUAGUUAGCAGAGAAUCGUGAGAAUUAGUGUUCAGAAUUUCCCAAGUCUGCUUAUAUUACAAUCAAGACAAUUCAACCACAACCAAAUGGGAGUGUCAUACUUUCUUGGAAGAAUACAGCCUUCAUAGUAAUCCGAGAUGCUCAUUAGAACUUAAAGACUUUGCUGAAAGGAACGGAUAUUCAUUGUUAUUUUAUAAGAGAAGCACAGCACUAUAUUACUUUGGACGUAUAAUUUACAAAUUGCAGUAGGCUGAGCGUAAUUGUAAAUACUUUUAUUUUCAGUGUACAUUCAGUAUAAGAAAUCGAAAUACUUAAAAGACGAUGAUUAGAAAUUAUAUCUUUUUAAUUAUGAAAUUCUUUAAUACAAUAUAACUUGACAGUUAUAUUUUAUAUUACAUCUAAUUUAUUACAAUAAAUAACUGUUUGGUGAUUCUAACUUUUCAUUUUUUCUGCAAAAAAAUAAUAUUUAUUUAUUUAUUUUAUAUAAUCCAAAUUAUAUUAUUAAAUGAUAUUUAAUUUUGUCAGAAACGUUGACAAAACUUUCAAAAAAAUAUAUUUUAGAAAUAGUAUGAAAUAUACUGUUUGUACACUGAAAAUUUAUUUUGAAGUUUAAAUUGCAUAAAAUAUGAUGUGUUAAGAUGUGUUUGAGGACUGCAAAAACAAUGCUUUGUUAUAACUUUGAUCAUGUAAUACCUUUGGGUGUUAAAUUAUACAUGAUACACAUACAUCAUGCGCGCGCGCUCGCGUAUAUACAGAUGUAAAUUAUACUAAUAAUGCUAGAACUACAUAUGUACCAAUGCGGAUUAUAUUUAGCAAUUUUACAUACAAUGUAAAGCACUCAAACAAAAAGUUAUGCCUGAUGCUAAACACAAAUUCAUACGUAUAAUAAUAGUUACAACUUUGAUCAGUAUAUCUUAUUUACAGUUUAAAUUGCAAAGGAAGCAAAUAUUUAUCUUAUAGAAGAUAAUUUUGAAAUAAUUAUUAAUCCGGGCGAGUAUGCUAGUCUUUAAAAGCCCACUACAGGAAUCAACAGAAUGCAACAAUUUUUUAGUAACAUCGUCCAGAUUGUUUGUGUAUCACAUUAAUUAAUGAUUUAAACGCACUGGGUAUUUAGUAUAUCUAUUGAUAAUAGGCAUUAUAAUUGAUAUGUUUUCAAAGUUUCUUUUUAUUACACUAAAGUCGUGCAAUACUGAGUCGUUAAAAACUGUGAUCAUAAGUUGCAAAAAACUUAUUAAGUUGAUCACGAUCUUUAAUAUUAUUCCAUACAAGCAGAAAUAAAAAUGAAAUUGAAAUGAGCAAUGUUAGAUCAUCGGUUAUAAGCUGCAUUUUUUAUUUAAGGGUAUUAGUAUAUUAUAGCUUUAUUUUAAUAUUCUAAUAAUUUCAUACUUAGUUAUUUUUUUUCGUUUUAUCAACUAAUUACAAAUAUGUUAAAAAUAUAUAAUGAGUGUCCAAAUAACUUAUACUUCAAGAUUUAGACAAUAUUUUGGGGAGUAGAGAGUAUUUUUAUUGUAAAUUGAGUAACAUAUUUUAUUGAUAACUUUAUGUAAUUCUUUUAUUCAAAUAUUAUGCAGCUUUUCCUAUGAAUAACCAAUAAUUCACAAGUGAUUAAAAUCUAGUGAUUCUUAAAACUAGUCAAAUAGAAUUCUAUAGUGCUGUAUUAUUACAAUCAAGUUUUUGAGUAUAAAGUUAUUAUUUUGUACAAAAAAGGUUUUGUGCAAUUUAUGAAAUUUUUCAAGCAGUAAUAUAAGAUAUAAUGAUUAGUUUUCAAAAUAAAAGAAAUAAAUUAUUUAUUAACAAAAGAGAAAUUUUAUUUUGUUAAAAUAAAAUGUUCUUGCAUAUUUUUAUUGAUCUAAUAUUAAAAGCAAAAUUAAAUAGGAUAAACCUAUAAGUAUAUAUUCGGACAAAUAUAUAUAAAAGGUGCAACACAAAAACAUAGCUAUAAAAGUAAAGAAUAUAAAUGCAAUUUGCUAGUAAAGUACUAGUCAAUCGUCGAUUCUCUCUCUCUAUAUAUAUAUCUACAUUUAUAGAUAUAUUAAAUAUAAAUUGUUUUCAAAUUUGUUAUUUUGGUUUUCAAUUAAAAAAAAGUGAAAGUACUAGUUAUCUGUGGGUAUUCACUUAAAAUUUUAUAGAAUUGUGGAAAUAAAUAAAACGUCUUUUUUUUAAUUGUGUAAAUAAAAUAAUAAGGUAUGUAUCUGUGUUUGAAGCUAUAAGGUAUAUAUCACAAAUGUACAAUGUACGGCAUGUAUGUACAUAUACUCAUGUACAUACGUAUAUUGUUGUGUAAACCCAUAUAGUACAAAACGCUAUAUUAAAUAAAAAGUACUAUAAUUCAAAUUAAUUGUGAAUUUAGACUUCACUUUGUGAAACUGAUGCAGGAGAAUUCCGCAAUUUCGUAUAUUUAAGAAAAAUCAGAAAAUGUCAUAAUAAAUUAAUGAUUUAAUAAAUUA